rnacentral:ribozyme from 1 species
AGAGUUUGCAAGUUUGAGGCCACAGCAGAAGUGCUCAUGGCAUGGCCCUUUCAGAUUCCAAUGGAUCUGCAAAUUCUGCU